rnacentral:rRNA from 1 species
CGUAGGGUGCGAGCGUUAAUCGGAAUUACUGGGCGUAAAGUGUGCGCAGGUGGCCGCGCAAGUCGAGUGUGAAAUCCCCGAGCUUAACUUGGGAAUUGCGCUCGAAACUACGUGGCUCGAGUGUGGCAGAGGAAGGCGGAAUUCCACGGGUAGCGGUGAAAUGCGUAGAGAUGUGGAGGAACACCGAUGGCGAAGGCAGCCUUCUGGGCCAACACUGACGCUCAUGCACGAAAGCGUGGGGAGCAAACAGGAUUAGAUACCCUGGUAGUCCACGCCCUAAACGAUGAUGACUAGUUGUUGGGGGAGUUAAAUCCCUUAGUAACGCAGCUAACGCGUGAAGUCAUCCGCCUGGGGAGUACGGUCGCAAGAUUA